GAUGAACGCCGGCGGUGUGCCUAAUACAUGCAAGUCGAACGCGUUGGUCCAAUUGAUUGAUGGUGCUUGCACCUGAUUGAUUUUGGUCGCCAACGAGUGGCGGACGGGUGAGUAACACGUAGGUAACCUGCCCAGAAGCGGGGGACAACAUUUGGAAACAGAUGCUAAUACCGCAUAACAGCGUUGUUCGCAUGAACAACGCUUAAAAGAUGGCUUCUCGCUAUCACUUCUGGAUGGACCUGCGGUGCAUUAGCUUGUUGGUGGGGUAAUGGCCUACCAAGGCGAUGAUGCAUAGCCGAGUUGAGAGACUGAUCGGCCACAAUGGGACUGAGACACGGCCCAUACUCCUACGGGAGGCAGCAGUAGGGAAUCUUCCACAAUGGGCGCAAGCCUGAUGGAGCAACACCGCGUGAGUGAAGAAGGGUUUCGGCUCGUAAAGCUCUGUUGUUAAAGAAGAACACGUAUGAGAGUAACUGUUCAUACGUUGACGGUAUUUAACCAGAAAGUCACGGCUAACUACGUGCCAGCAGCCGCGGUAAUACGUAGGUGGCAAGCGUUAUCCGGAUUUAUUGGGCGUAAAGAGAGUGCAGGCGGUUUUCUAAGUCUGAUGUGAAAGCCUUCGGCUUAACCGGAGAAGUGCAUCGGAAACUGGAUAACUUGAGUGCAGAAGAGGGUAGUGGAACUCCAUGUGUAGCGGUGGAAUGCGUAGAUAUAUGGAAGAACACCAGUGGCGAAGGCGGCUACCUGGUCUGCAACUGACGCUGAGACUCGAAAGCAUGGGUAGCGAACAGGAUUAGAUACCCUGGUAGUCCAUGCCGUAAACGAUGAGUGCUAGGUGUUGGAGGGUUUCCGCCCUUCAGUGCCGGAGCUAACGCAUUAAGCACUCCGCCUGGGGAGUACGACCGCAAGGUUGAAACUCAAAGGAAUUGACGGGGGCCCGCACAAGCGGUGGAGCAUGUGAUUUAAUUCGAAGCUACGCGAAGAACCUUACCAGGUCUUGACAUCUUGCGCCAACCCUAGAGAUAGGGCGUUUCCUUCGGGAACGCAAUGACAGGUGGUGCAUGGUCGUCGUCAGCUCGUGUCGUGAGAUGUUGGGUUAAGUCCCGCAACGAGCGCAACCCUUGUUACUAGUUGCCAGCAUUAAGUUGGGCACUCUAGUGAGACUGCCGGUGACAAACCGGAGGAAGGUGGGGACGACGUCAGAUCAUCAUGCCCCUUAUGACCUGGGCUACACACGUGCUACAAUGGACGGUACAACGAGUCGCGAACUCGCGAGGGCAAGCAAAUCUCUUAAAACCGUUCUCAGUUCGGACUGCAGGCUGCAACUCGCCUGCACGAAGUCGGAAUCGCUAGUAAUCGCGGAUCAGCAUGCCGCGGUGAAUACGUUCCCGGGCCUUGUACACACCGCCCGUCACACCAUGAGAGUUUGUAACACCCAAAGUCGGUGGGGUAACCUUUUAGGAGCCAGCCGCCUAAGGUGGGACAGAUGAUUAGGGUG
rnacentral:rRNA from 2 species